rnacentral:rRNA from 1 species
GACGAACUGCCCAAACGUUGUUCGGAAUCACUGGGCUUAAAGGGUGCGUAGGCGGGUCUUUAAGUCAGGGGUGAAAUCCUGGAGCUCAACUCCAGAACUGCCUUUGAUACUGAAGAUCUUGAGUUCGGGAGAGGUGAGUGGAACUGCGAGUGUAGAGGUGAAAUUCGUAGAUAUUCGCAAGAACACCAGUGGCGAAGGCGGCUCACUGGCCCGAUACUGACGCUGAGGCACGAAAGCGUGGGGAGCAAACAGG